CUAGGGAUUGAAGGUCAGGGUGGAAGCGGCUGCCUUUCUGGCUGCUGUUUUCAAGGUCCUGCUGUCUUUCCAAGCUUUGGCUGGAGAAGACGGAAAUGUCACUAGCAGAUGGGAUGUUACCAUCUCCCAUGCACAUUUGCAUCCACAGUCAUAAGAAAUCCUCACGAUGACUCACAUGUCAGGACCCUCCACUUUUCCACCAGCUUUCCACCAGUGGAAAGAAGCCAGCCAAGAAUCAGCAGCUUCUGGCUACCUGGAUCAGAAGGUUGAUGAAGGCAAUGAAACAAAGAUGGAAAAACGCAUCACACAGGCCCUUACCAGAUGCCAGCAUCUUGAUAUUGGACUUCCUAGUCUUCAGAACACCUGACCAUUUAAAGAAUGAAAAUGUGUUCACAUGAGGAAACCAAGGGUGUGGUCAACAAACCGUUGGAUAAGGUUCCUGUCAAGCAACCCACCUUAUCAAGUGGACCAGGCACAGCUCCUACUUAUACCUGAGUAGUGGGUGUCAGUUUCCUGCUAGGCUCGGAAUUGUUCAAAGCCCAUCAGAUUCUCCUGCAGGAACCGGGGGCACUUCACCCUCUUGUUGCUACAAAGCUUGCCACCCACAGCCCCUGCCUGUUCACCCUGCUCCUGAGGGCAACCCCUGUGUGGCCGGCAUCCCAUGCUGUGUUCACCUCUCUGAAGCUGAGAGUGUUUGUGAAUAGUAACUGCUGUCAGUCACAUCUGCUAAGCGUCGAGUGUAAUGUCAUCCUCAUAAUUCUAGUGUGGAAUGCCUCCCUCACCAAUGGGGUGAACAGGGGCAACAAAAACAAUGUGUAAAAUAUUUAGACACUGCAAGAUACGUAUUUAGAACCUGGCAAAUGUUAGUUAAGGCCAUUAUUGUUAUUAUUUUGCAAAAGGAUAAUAAUUUGGUUUUCUUUUAAUGAAAUUUGUUUGGACAGAAUGCUUAGCUCAUAGUGUUAUUCUUAGAUUCCUCCAAAGAGCUUUUCUGGAAUUUUCUUUCCCUCAUUAGCAAUUAUAAAGAUAUGCUAAUGCUUUGCACCAAAUGGCAGCUACAUGCUUGAGACCAGCACUGAAAAUUAAUCAUGGAAUCACUGCAUAUCUGAACAAGGGCCACAAGAGGAGGCACAGAUGGGUCAAUGGACUUGACCAGAGCCACCAAGCAAAUUCAGUUUG